rnacentral:lncRNA from 10 species
AAACAAAUGGGCCAUUCUUUCUCCUGCUCUCUAGCAAUGGCAGUGAAACUUGCCUAGAAAAAAAAUAAUGGGACAAAAAAACAACUCAAAAUUCUGGGCUUUAGGAAACUGAAAAAUGAGAUAUAAAAAGAAUGCAUAUUGACACAGCUAGUGUCUGAAAGAGAAAACUGCAUGAGUAAAUUUCAAUAGUGUAUUUGGUAACCGAACCUGAAAGUGUCACAAGACCAAAGUCAAGGUACCAACAGGGCCAAGUUUAUUUAUGGAGGCUCUACAGGAGAAUCUACUUCCAAGCUCAUGCAUUUUGUUUUUUUGUUCUGGCAAGAUAUGAAGACAAUGAAGAAGCACUCCUUGCCAUCAGGUUGCUUUCAGUCUACAUCAUGGCAUACAGAAAAAAUAUAUGCUUUAUGGAGUAGCAGUCAUGAAGAAAAUAUUUUCCAGUAACUUUGGGUAUGUAAGACUGGUUCAACAUUUGAAAAUCAAUCAGUUUAAUUCACCAUAUCAACAGGCUGAACAAGAAAAGUCAUGUGAUUGUAUCAGCUGACACAGAAAAGCAUUUAACAAAAAUCCAGCACUGAUUUAUGAUUAAAACAAAGAAACAAACUCUCAGCACAUUAGAAAUACAGUGGAGUUAAGAGCAUCUACCAAAACUUUCAGCUAACAUCACACCUAAGACUAAAAGACGGACUCUUUUUCCUUCCAAGAUUGAAACAAGUUCCGAUUUCCUGUGUGCUGGCUUUAUCAACAAAGAGGUUCUCACCAGACAGCAGUCCCUGACAUUCUACAUCUCUACAAGCUUCAUGGAAAGAAUGCUCCAUCUUCUAAAUAAAUCCGGUAAAAUUCUGAAGAUUGAUAAACCUGUCAUCAGCCAUUUGUUGAUCCCUAAAUCAUUUACUGUGGGCAGGGUAUGUGGUGUUCUGAUUGUGCGUGUAUUCAUUCAGCUUAAAUUCACAGAUGGAAUGUGGCACUGAAUUUUCUUCUCGAGGGAAAUUGAGAAUCUAUUAUUUAAAAAAUAGGAAAUAAGGCCGGGCGCCUAGGCUCACGCCUGUGAUCCCAGCACUUUGGGAGGCAGAGUGGGGCAGAUUGCUGGAGCUCUGAAGUUCGUAAACAACCUGGGCAAUAUGGUAAGACUCUAUCUCUACGAAAAAUACAAAAAUUAGCCGGGCAUGGUGGUGCGCCUUUGUAGUUCCAGUUGGGAAGCUGAGG